rnacentral:lncRNA from 1 species
AAAGAGAUGACCUCAGUCAAGACGAUCCCGUAAAACCCAUCCAUCGUUAGUAUUGGAAGCAGUAUCAUAGUUGCACUUCACCAUACCGUCAAUUGGACGUUCCCAACUUGUAUGUGAUAACAAAAAGCUCAACAUCAAUUUGUUAAUGAAGUUAUAACUGUAGUCUUCACCCAUUCAUCCACCUUUGCAUUAGCCGUUCCCCAUAUCCUUUGAGGUUGUUUGGUUGCACUUCCUUUUCCUGACUGUAAAGUAAACAGUAUCAUAAUGCACUUCUUUUAAGCUAAACAAAUGUAGUAUCAUAUACAAGCUUAUAUAUCAAUAGCAGGUUAAGUAAAGUACAUUUAGUAAAUCAAUAGAUUAGCCAAACUCAGAGUAACCAUCAACAGUCAAAACUCUUCAUUUUAAAUGCUGCAGAAAAAUAGUUCUCGAGCCCAUAUAUUUUCAGUAUUCUGAAUCGAUAACUAAACAUAUUGUAAGAUACAUUUCAUAUAAAUACAAACUAAACGUUAUAUUGUUGGUUUUAUAUUUCCAUUGAAAAUACCUAUAUUUUUUCUUAACAUUUCAAUAUAUUUUGAUAUAUUUAGUAAAAUUAUAUAAAAAACCACAUAUAAAUUCUAUGAAACAUAAAAAUAUAAAUCAAGUAAUAUAAUAAAAACAAUGUGAAAGUCAAAUUUCUAAAAAAAAAAUUAAUGUAUAUACGGUAAAAUAAAAUAUAUUUUUAAUUUAUAAAUAAAAAUAGAAAAAAUAGAAAAAAAACUAAAAAAGAAAAAAUUGUAAAUUAAUUUCUCUAUAAAUUAAUAAAAUUUCAAAGUCCCAACAUUAUUAAUUUAUAGAGGUUAUACUGUAUACGGUGAUGCGUUUCAACUGAGUAAGUAAUGAUGGUUUCUUGAAGAGGCAUAGAUAUCUUUGAUUGAGAGGAGGGAUGUGGAGAGGUACAAAGAGUCUUCACUUGAUGAGUUAUUAGGGAGCAUUGAAGUGCCAUUGUUGUAGUCGUAGGAGUUACACCGGUGAAGUUGGAUAGACGAACAGAUUUGGAGUCGCU